rnacentral:piRNA from 1 species
UUCGGAUUUUAGUGUUCGAUU